UACGUAGGUGGCAAGCGUUGUCCGGAAUUAUUGGGCGUAAAGCGCGCGCAGGCGGUCCUUAAGUCUGAUGUGAAAGCCCACGGCUCAACCGUGGAAGGUCAUUGGAAACUGGGGGACUUGAGUGCAGAAGAGGUUAGUGGAAUUCCAAGUGUAGCGGUGAAAUGCGUAGAGAUUUGGAGGAACACCAGUGGCGAAGGCGACUAACUGGUCUGUAACUGACGCUGAGGCGCGAAAGCGUGGGGAGCAAACAGG
rnacentral:rRNA from 1 species